rnacentral:rRNA from 1 species
GAUGAACGCUGGCGGCGUGCUUAACACAUGCAAGUCGAACGGGAUCCAAGGGGUGCUUGCACUUUUUGGUGAGAGUGGCGCACGGGUGAGUCACACGUGAGUAACCUGUCCUUUUCUUUGGGAUAAGCAUUCGACAGGGUGUUUAAUACCUUAUGUUCUGUCUGCCUCGCAUGGGGUGGUUGGGAAAGGCUUUGGCCGGAUUUGGGUGGGCUCGCGGUCUAUCAGCUUGUUGGUGGGGUGAUGGCUUACCCAGGCUUUGACGGGUAGCCGGCCUGAGAGGGUGGUCGGUCACAUAGGGACUGAGAAACGGCCCAGACGGCUGCGGGAGGCAGCAGUGGGGGAUAUUGCAAAAUGGGCGAAAGCCUGAUGCAGCGACGCCGGGUGGGGGAGGAAGGCUUUCGGGUUGUAAACUUCUUUGGCUCUGAACAAGGCAUGCCAGUGGGUGUGUGGAGGGAAGGGGUGGAUUAGCGCCGGCUAACUACGUG